UAAGAUUUUUUUAAAUGGUUAUAAUCAUAUAUUUUACAUGUACAGUCAAAAAGCUUAAAUAAAAGCUGAAAUAAAUGCUAAUUGAAAGAAAAUGUAUAUGAUGUGCAACAAAAAAGUCAGCGAGAGGUAGAGCAGCUGAGCAGCUCUGGGGUGUACUGACUUUAUGUCCCCAUGGAACUCCAGUCUCACAGCAACGAUGAGGUGAGCCCAACACAUCUGGAAUGUCACUGCCCUGGGUGGCCCCUCUGGCUCUACAGGGAUGCCAGCCCCUGCCAUGCCCCUCCCAGCCAUGACCCCCUAGUGCUCUAAGGACAAGGCCCUGUUCAGUCCUUGUGCAAGCUGGCUUCAGCCGUUUCAGGUGCGGUCUCUAGGCUAGGAGGUUUCUGCGACCCGCCCUGGCCACUGCUGAUGCGCCCAGCCUCCUCCCCAAGGUGGAAGGCAGGGAGGACAGCAGGCUCUUCUUAGACCCAUACACUCCACGUUAGGAAACACGGAGUCUGAAAAAUAAAAACACGU
rnacentral:lncRNA from 1 species